CGAACGCGGUUUCCUCGCAAGGGGAAACUGAGUGGCGAACGGGUGAGUAACGCGUGGGUGACCUACCUUCGAGUGGGGGAUAACGUCCCGAAAGGGACGCUAAUACCGCAUGAAAUCCUGCCCUUGAACGGGUGGAGAUCAAAGCUGGGGAUCGCAAGACCCGGCGCUUGAAGAGGGGCCCGCGUCCGAUUAGCUAGUUGGUGAGGUAACGGCUCACCAAGGCGACGAUCGGUAUCCGGCCUGAGAGGGCGGACGGACACACUGGGACUGAGACACGGCCCAGACUCCUACGGGAGGCAGCAGUGGGGAGUUGUUCACAAUGGGCGCAAGCCUGAUGACGCAAUGCCGCGUGGAGGAUGAAGGUCUUCGGAUUGUAAACUCCUGUUGCCAGGAACGAAUGGCUCCGACCUAAUACGUCGGAAGAAUGACGGUACCUGGUGAGGAAGCCCCGGCUAACUCUGUGCCAGCAGCCGCGGUAAUACAGAGGGGGCAAGCGUUGUUCGGAAUUACUGGGCGUAAAGGGCGCGUAGGCGGCCCGCUAAGUCGAACGUGAAAUCCCCAGGCUCAACCUGGGAACUGCGUCCGAUACUGGCAGGGCUUGAAUCCGGGAGAGGGAUGUGGAAUUCCAGGUGUAGCGGUGAAAUGCGUAGAUAUCUGGAGGAACACCGGUGGCGAAGGCGGCAUCCUGGACCGGUAUUGACGCUGAGGCGCGAAAGCUAGGGGAGCAAACGGGAUUAGAUACCCGGUUAGUCCUAGCCCUAAACGAUAAAUGCUUGGUGUGGCGGGUAUCGAUCCCUGCCGUGCCGAAACUAACGCAUUAAGC
rnacentral:rRNA from 1 species